CUCAAUUAUCAGUGCAACUGCUCUUUUCUUGAGAUAUACAAUGAACAGGUCACAGAUCUGUUGGAUCCGAGUCAAAGGAACCUUCAGAUUAGAGAAGAUGUCAAAUCAGGUGUGUAUGUUGAGAAUCUUACAGAGAAUCAAGUGUCUACAAUGGAGGAU